rnacentral:rRNA from 1 species
ACGGGUGAGUAACACGUAGGUAACCUGCCUAUGAGACUGGGAUAACUAUCGGAAACGAUAGCUAAGACCGGAUAACUGGUUUUCUCGCAUGAGAGAAUCAUGAAACACGGAGCAAUCUGUGGCUUAUAGAUGGGCCUGCGGCGCAUUAGCUAGUUGGUAGGGUAAUGGCCUACCAAGGCGACGAUGCGUAGCCGACCUGAGAGGGUGAACGGCCACACUGGGACUGAGACACGGCCCAGACUCCUACGGGAGGCAGCAGUAGGGAAUCUUCCGCAAUGGACGCAAGUCUGACGGAGCAACGCCGCGUGAGUGAUGAAGGUUUUCGGAUCGUAAAGCUCUGUUGCCCUAGACGAACAGCAAGGAGAGUAACUGCUCUUUGUGUGACGGUAUAGGAGAAGAAAGCCCCGGCUAACUACGUGCCAGCAGCCGCGGUAAUACGUAGGGGGCAAGCGUUGUCCGGAAUUAUUGGGCGUAAAGCGCGCGCAGGCGGUCAAUUAAGUUGGGUGUUUAAGCCCGGGGCUCAACCCCGGUUCGCAUCCAAAACUGGUUGACUUGAGUGUAGGAGAGGAAAGUGGAAUUCCACGUGUAGCG